rnacentral:rRNA from 1 species
GAUGAACGCUGGCGGCGUGCCUAAUACAUGCAAGUCGAGCGAACGGACGAGAAGCUUGCUUUUCUGAUGUUAGCGGCGGACGGGUGAGUAACACGUGGAUAACCUACCUAUAAGACUGGGAUAACUUCGGGAAACCGGCGCUAAUCCCGGAUAAUAUUUUGAACCGCAUGGUUCAAAAGUGAAAGACGGUCUUGCUGUCACUUAUAGAUGGAUCCGCGCUGCAUUAGCUAGUUGGUAAGGUAACGGGUUACCAAGGCAACGAUGCAUAGCCGACCUGAGAGGGGGAUCGGCCACACUGGAACUGAGACACGGUCCAGACUCCUACGGGAGGCAGCAGUAGGGAAUCUUCCGCAAUGGGCGAAAGCCUGACGGAGCAACGCCGCGUGAGUGAUGAAGGUCUUCGGAUCGUAAAACUCUGUUAUUAGGGAAGAACAUAUGUGUAAGUAACUGUGCACAUCUUGACGGUACCUAAUCAGAAAGCCACGGCUAACUACGUG